ACGCCUGCCCGGUGAACAAUUAAACGGCCGCGGUACCCUAACCGUGCAAAGGUAGCAUAAUCAUUUGUCUACUAAUUAUAGACCUGUAUGAAAGGCAAAAUGAGGGUUUAACUGUCUCUUAUAAUAAAUCAAUUAAACUGAUCUCCUAGUAAAAAAGCUAGAAUUCUGACAUAAGACCAGAAGACCCUGUGAAGCUUAAACUAAACUAUUAAACCACAUAAUAACUACUUUCGGUUGGGGCGACCAUGGAACAAAAAAGAACUUCCAACAAAAUGAUUUCCACAUACUAUCCCAGGCUGACAGGCCAAUCAACGACCCAGCUAAGCUGAUAAAUGAAACAAGUUACUCCAGGGAUAACAGCGCAAUCUUCUUUAAGAGCCCAUAUCAAAAAGAAGGUUUACGACCUCGAUGUUGGAUCAGGACAUCCUAAUGGUGCAGACGCUAUUAAGGGUUCGUUUGUUCAACGAUUAAUAGUCCUACGUGAUCUG
rnacentral:rRNA from 1 species